AGUGUUGUAUAAUUGUCACAUGAACCUGUUCAAUUGUUGGCCCUACAAAACCAUGUUCCAUGGAGAAACAAUUAAUUCGGUGGAGCUAAUAAAGAUAGUACUAUACAUUGUCAGCAAUCUAGAGCUCAUGAAGGUUAAAUCAUGAGUUUUGAAGGACAAGUUCUUCAGCAACAUGGUUGCUUAGAUUCACUUCCCUAUGUUUCUAGUUUUAGUCCUUCUUUCGUAGGGUUGAAGGGAUGGUAGACCUAGCAGCACCAAUAUCGUUUCCUUGCACGGCAUGUCCAAGAAACAAGAAGCAUGGCAUUGGCAUUUGUUGUUACAAUUUAGGAAAUAUAAAAGAAUGCAAACAAGACUAGCUCAGGCAUGAAACCUUUGUCUACUUUGCUGCAAAACAAGUGAAGCAGAUGAAUUGAGUCCAUCCUCUUUGGUGCUUGAAAAAUAUGUUGGCAUUAAUGCAGUUCUUUAAGAAUACAAAUCAUUUUCGUCUAUUA